CUGUUCACUGGGCUUAGUUCUUUUCAUGAAGUCCUGAUCUGCCCGUCCUGAGCUAGAGAAUCGUGCCUCGUUUGAAGGUGCUCUAUCUGAGUGGACAAUGGGAUACCGUGGUUUUGAGUAAACA